GCCGAUGUAGCUCAGUGGUAGAGCGCUAGACUCAUAAUCUAGAGGUCGUGUGUUCGAUCCACACCAUCGGCA
rnacentral:tRNA from 1 species